rnacentral:rRNA from 1 species
AAUAGAUACCCGGGUAGUCCACGCCGUAAACGAUGGAUACUAGCUGUUCGGGGAUUACCUGAGGUGGCUAAGCGAAAGUGAUAAGUAUCCCACCUGGGGAGUACGGGGCGCAAGCCUGAAACUCAAAGGAAUUGACGGGGGCCCGCACAAGCGGUGGAGCAUGUGGUUUAAUUCGAUGAUACGCGAGGAACCUUACCAGGGCUUAAAUGUAGGUUGCAUGAUCCAGAGAUGGGUCUUUCUUCGGACCACCUACAAGGUGCUGCAUGGUUGUCGUCAGCUCGUGCCGUGAGGUGUCAGGUUAAGUCCUAUAACGAGCGCAACCCCUAUUGUUAGUUGCCAGCGAGUCAUGUCGGGAACUCUAGCAAGACUGCCGGUGCAAACCGUGAGGAAGGUGGGGAUGACGUCAAAUCAUCACGGCCCUUACGUCCUGGGCUACACACGUGCUACAAUGGUGGGGACAGAGAGCAGCCACUGGGCGACCAGGGAGCGAAUCUAUAAAACCCCAUCACAGUUCGGAUCGGAGUCUGCAACUCG